rnacentral:rRNA from 1 species
GCUGGCUACGUCGCCGGGGGUAGUACCGAACUCGUAAACGGUUCCCGCAGAGGGAGCGCUUUCGAUAGCCACGUUCUCGACGUUGGUAACGCCGGGAGCAAUGGGCAUGGCGUACAGAACCGUAGGUGCCUGUGAAGCGGUAGGCUUGUCACCUGACAGCUUCGCGGUACGGACAACGGACGCGAGGU